rnacentral:rRNA from 1 species
UACUCGAGUGGCGAACGGGUGAGUAACACGUGGGUGAUCUGCCCUGCACUUCGGGAUAAGCUUGGGAAACUGGGUCUAAUACCGGAUAGGAGCCAUCUUUAGUGUGGUGGUUGGAAAGUUUUUCGGUGUAGGAUGAGCUCGCGGCCUAUCAGCUUGUUGGCGGGGUAAUGGCCUACCAAGGCGGCGACGGGUAGCCGGCCUGAGAGGGUGUACGGCCACAUUGGGACUGAGAUACGGCCCAG